GAUGAAGAACGCAGUGAAAUGCGAUAAGUAAUGUGAAUUGCAGAAUUCAGUGAAUCAUCGAAUCUUUGAACGCACAUUGCGCCCGCCAGUAUUCUGGCGGGCAUGCCUGUUCGAGCGUCAUUUCAACCAUCAAGCCCCAGGCUUGUGUUGGGGACCUGCGGCUGCCGCAGGCCCUGAAAACCAGUGGCGGGCUCGCUGUCACACCGGGCGUAGUAGAUUUUAUCUCGCCCAGGGCGUGCUGCGGGUUCCGGCCGUUAAAAAGCCUUUUUUACCCAAGGUUGACCUCGGAUCAGGUAGGAAGACCCGCUGAACUUAAGCAUAUCAAUAAGCGGAGGA
rnacentral:misc_RNA from 1 species